CCAGCACCCCGAGUGGUCGGGACGAUUAUUGGGCCUAAAGCAUCCGUAGCCGGCCUUACAAGUCCCCCGUUAAAUCCAGCUGCUUAACAGAUGGGCUGCGGAGGAUACUAUAAGACUAGGAGGCAGGAGAGGCAAGCGGUACUCAGUGGGUAGGGGUAAAAUCCGUUGAUCCAUUGAAGACCACCAGUGGCGAGGGCGGCUUGCCAGAAUGCGCUCGACGGUGAGGGAUGAAAGCUGGGGGAGCAAACCGGAUUAGAUACCCGGGUAGUCCCAGCUGUAAACGAUGCAGACUCGGUGAUGGACUAGCUUUAUGCUGGUCCAGUGCCGCAGGGAAGCCGUUAAGUCUGCCGCCUGGGUAGUACGGUCGCAAGACUG
rnacentral:rRNA from 1 species